UAAUAUUGCAGGUAGGAAUACGCUGUAUACUCAUGAAACCGAAUUAGCGUUUAAGCGACAUGUGUUGUCGUCGGACAUGAGGGAGCCACCUUUCGAGGUGGCUUUUGAAUUAUUU
ncrna:unclassified sequences DTF3800-I RNA